UAAAUGAAAGUUUGUUUCUCAUUGUAUGCUUUGAGGCAAAAAUAAGUGACUAAAUCAACUCCUUGAUUAAUCAUAUCCUGCUGUUCUAUUCUAGCUCUGUUUCAAUGCUGUCUCAAGCAGCAAAACAAGAGGGAGAUGGCUAAAGUCAAGAGCUAAAAGUUUUUAACACUUAGUUACAACUAGAAGAUCCUUGCACAGGUGUUAGUGCAUUCUCUUACCAGGCUAGCGUCUCUGGCAGCUCAGGAGAAAAUGCUGCCUGAUGCAGUUGUAGUAGAUAGGGCCGGGAGAGCUUUCAGCAAACGUAACAGGGCUGUCUUGUUACUGAAUUGUGUUCUUAAAAAGAUACACAAAAAUUUUGGCCAAGAGGCAGAUGUCAUGAGUAUGUUUCUUCACAGUAUUGAAGACAAUGAACAACUUCAUGAAUUUCUCGUAAUUAACGUUAUAGGUAAAGAAGUACAAUGACAAGGGAAAGAAGGGUGAGAAAGAGCUCCUUACGGCAAACCAGGCUAUAAUAACAGCAACUUUAGAGUUUAACCUUUUAGAAGUUGCUGGGAAGCUUCUGCAGUGCGGAAUCAUUAAUAAUGAAGAAUAUGGAGUGAUUGUGGAUCCUGCUGCAGAACAUAAUUCCCUGGUUGUCUGUGAUAUACAUGUAUUAGAUAGUAAUGGAGAUUCUAUUGAAUUGGACUCAAAGAGCUUCUACAUAUUUUUGAGCAACAUUCUUGAGGAGAUUAGUGGACCGGCAGAAACUCUUGCAGAGAAAAUGAAUUCACUGGGUGACGACCCUAAUUAAUAGACACUAACUUUUCUAGAACUUAAUUUCUUAAUGUUAUAAUGAUAAUUAUUGUUAAUGUUUUAUAUCAGAAAAUCUAAUUAAUUAAUGAAAAAUUCUAUCAUCACCAUUUUUGACAAGACUUGGCUAGUAUUCCCUAAUUUUUUGAGCCAAUUAAAAAAUUUGUAAAAAAAUUUAAUUGAAAUCUGCUCAAACUUAAUUUCUAC